rnacentral:rRNA from 1 species
GACGAACGCUGGCGGCGUGCUUAACACAUGCAAGUCGAACGAAGAGCGACGGAAGCUUGCUUCCAUCAAUCUUAGUGGCGAACGGGUGAGUAACGCGUAAUCAACCUGCCCUUCAGAGGGGGACAACAGUUGGAAACGACUGCUAAUACCGCAUACGAUCUGACCUCGGCAUCGAGGAUAGAUGAAAGGUGGCCUCUAUUUAUAAGCCAUCACUGAAGGAGGGGAUUGCGUCUGAUUAGCUAGUUGGAGGGGUAACGGCCCACCAAGGCGAUGAUCAGUAGCCGGUCUGAGAGGAUGAACGGCCACAUUGGGACUGAGACACGGCCCAGACUCCUACGGGAGGCAGCAGGGGGAAUCUUCCGCAAUGGACGAAAGUCUGACGGAGCAACGCCGCGUGAGUGAUGACGGCCUUCGGGUUGUAAAGCUCUGUUAAUCGGGACGAAAGGCCUUCUUGCGAAUAGUCAGGAG